rnacentral:rRNA from 1 species
GUCCACACCGUAAACGUUGGGCGCUAGGUGUGGGACUCAUUCCACGAGUUCCGUGCCGCAGCUAACGCAUUAAGCGCCCCGCCUGGGGAGUACGGCCGCAAGGCUAAAACUCAAAGGAAUUGACGGGGGCCCGCACAAGCGGCGGAGCAUGCGGAUUAAUUCGAUGCAACGCGAAGAACCUUACCUGGGUUUGACAUAUGGAGAAAUCUCCCAGAGAUGGGAGGUCCGUAAGGGCUCCAUACAGGUGGUGCAUGGCUGUCGU